rnacentral:rRNA from 1 species
AUUGAACGCUGGCGGCAGGCCUAACACAUGCAAGUCGAACGAGUGGCGGACAGGGGGGGAAUGUUUGGGGACUGGUAGAUAGAGGGGGAUAACUACUGGACACGGUAGCUAAUACCGCAUACUGUUGUUUAACCCAUAUGGGAUUAGCUAGUAGGUGAGGUAAUGGCUCACCUAGGCGACGAUCACUAGCUGGUCUGAGAGGAUGAUCAGCCACACUGGGACUGAGACACGGCCCAGACUCCUACGGAGGCAGCAGUGGGGAAUAUUGCACAAUGGGCGCAAGCCUGAUGCAGCCAUGCCGCGUGUAUGAAGAAGGCCCUAGGGUUGUAAAGUACUUUCGGUCGGGAGGCGUUACCGACAGAAGAAGCACCGGCUAACUCCGUGCCAGCAGCCGCGGUAAUUC